CCUACGGGGGGCAGCAGUGGGGAAUAUUGCGCAAUGGGCGAAAGCCUGACGCAGCGACGCCGCGUGAGGGAUGAAGGUCUUCGGAUCGGAAACCUCUGUCAGCAGGGAAGAACGGUCACUGUGCUAAUCAGCAGUGAAUUGACGGUACCUGCAAAGGACGCACCGGCUAACUCCGUGCCAGCAGCCGCGGUAAUAAGGAGGGUGCGAGCGUGAAUCGGAAUUUCUGGGUGUAAAGCGCUGGGAGGCGGUAUGUUCAGUCCAGGGUGAAAUCCCCGCGCUCAACGUGGGAACUGCCUUUGAAACUGGCAACCUGGAGUGUGUGAGAGGAAAGUGGAAUGCCAGGUGUAGGAGUGAAAUCCGUAGAUAUCUGGAGGAACAUCAGUGGCGAAGGCGACUAUCUGGCACAUAACUGACGCUGAGGAGCGAAAGCGUGGGUAGCAAACAGGAUUAGAUACCCGGGUAGUC
rnacentral:rRNA from 1 species